rnacentral:lncRNA from 1 species
AGUAGUUAGUUUUGAUAUAUAAGAUUAGAAUUUAGAUAGAAAGAGCAAACAAAUCAUGAGAAUUUAUUCCAGAAGCAUAAGCAGACUUAUAAUCAAAAACCCUUAUAAUAGAGAAUAAUUGCUUAGUGCCUUAAAAGCACUGUUCACAAAGUAUUGUGACACGUGGUGGUGUGUGAGAUUGGUAUUUUAGUCCAAAGGAAGCCACAUGCCAAGUUUGGAUUCAAAUCUUGCAAAAUAAUUUUCAUAGGCAGUGUCCCACUUUGGAGUGGGGUCCACUCCCUAGGUAGCUCCUAUUUAAUUUUCAAUUUUAUUUUAAUAACAAAAUGCUUUGGCAAGAUGAUAAAUAUAUUUGCAUUAUUGUCGUAUAUGGUUGAUGGGAUUUGUUCUUUAUCUUUUUUGUUUUACAUGCUUAUAUCCAAUUGUAUAUUUUUUCUCUUGCCUUUGCCAGUUAUCGCCAGCUCAUAUCUACCGUUUGUUGUACUUAGUAAGGUGUGCAAUAUGCAAUAUUAAUGAGGCAGAAACAAAGUCAUUAAAGACAAUGGUUUUUGUUUUACAAAUCACUGAUGAGAUGGUUAAUUUUGCUUGUCAUAUAGGUAAAUAACAAAAAAAAAACAGCUGUAAUAUUUUUUCCCCAAGUUUCUUUGCUCAUAUCUUUUGCCCCCAUUGCCUAUAAAUACUACUCCCUCCGGUCUUUUUAUAAGGAACAAUUUAAGAAAAAAAAUUGGUCCUUUUUAUAAGAAACAAUCAUUAAAUUUAUUCUUACAAUUCCAUUUCUACCCUUAUUAAAUUAUAUCCAUUCCAAAGUUAUGCAUUAACUAGAGUGACAUAUUCCCUAAGAAUAAAUUAAUACACCAAGGUUAGUUUUGGAAUAGAUUGUAAAAUUUUAGAAUUUUUAUUAAGAAAUAUAAGAUUUCUUGGUAUGUAUGUUUUUACCAAAUUGUUCCUUAUAAUAAGGACCGGAGGGAGUACUACGGGUAACAACAACAUUUCACACCAUAUAUUCAGUUCCAUUCAUAUUGAAAAUUUGUUUUCAUAUCUUCUUCAAUGUCAUCAAACACCUUUUUCUUCCUAUGUCAAUCAUAUUUGUUAUAAUAAAUUAUAUUUCAUGCUAUUGCCUAAUUUUGUCUACUUUUUUCAAGUGUUCGGAAAUGGAUCCCUCACUUGAUUUGGCAAAUUUAUUUGGCAAAUUUAUGUCAAUCAUAUUGAGAAUUUGUUUUCAGAUAAUUGCAUUUGGUGUUGAUUUUGCAGGUACACUUGGAUAAAAAUAAGAACCUUUACUCCCCNNNNNNNNNNNNNNNNNNNNNNNNNNNNNNNNNNNNNNNNNNNNNAUGAGGUAUUUUUUGUUCUCCUGUAUAAUCACUAGCCAAAUUAAAACUUGAUGUAUUCAUCCAAUUUUUGUUCUUCUCACUAGCCUUUCCAUAAUACAUGUUUAUGAACUGCAAAUACAAGGAAACAAAUAUAUUAUCUGUAUUGUAGGUGCAAGGAAAAUUCAUUCUAUUUAUGAAUGUAAUCACAACAGAAAUUCAAUAAGAAAGUGUUUGUAACAAACUCUAACAACAACCAUCCUGCCUUGAAUAUGGCUAUGUCCAUCCCAAGUUAUUAAC